GGUGCCAUCGUCUAAUCGGUCAGGACGCCAGCCUCUCAAGCUGGAAAUGCCGGUUCAAGUCCGGCUGGCAUUACCA
rnacentral:tRNA from 1 species